rnacentral:lncRNA from 1 species
UGCACCGCCCAACUGCUGUGGACCUGACUGCCACAGUCACAUCUCCUCCUCAUCCCUGGAAUCCCCCUGCAGUUCAGCCUCCCAGCACAUACAGGAGGAGCACAGACUGAGGCAGAGGAGCUUCCAGGCAUGAACUGAGCUGCACAGGACUUCAUUCUUCGAGUGGAGCUAGCACUGCCACGGGACACUGAAGGAACAGCAGAUGUGGGGUUUAAAGGACCAAGAACAAGAAGUUGAAUAGGAUGGGAGCAGCCACAUACCCACCUGAUGUGUCCUGUGGAACCAGAGGCACGGCACGCCCUACCUGGGGAGCUGUCUCCUCACUCCUCUACCUUCAGUUCAUUCAAUUCAUGCUCUCACUUUUCAUCCAACAACUGAAGUAAGGCCCGUCACGUCUCCUAUCAAUUCCAGACACUAUGCCCAGCAUACCUGCAGCUUCUCAGACGUCCCACUUGUAUCCAUACAAAUACU